rnacentral:lncRNA from 1 species
AAUAAAACUUAAGCAUGGAUAUGAUAAAUAGUUGCUCUGCCUAAUUUGUAAAUUUUAAGUUCUCUCUCAAGUUUAGAUAUAACUGUUAUAAUUUAAAGCUUGCUCUAGCCCUAAACUUGUGGGAUGAAAACUUGAUCUGAAGUCUAAGUUGUUAACGGAUAUGAUAUGGGAAGGUUGAGCUGCUGUUUAUCUGUUCCUAGAGAUGCUAGAAUUCUAGAGAAUUUUAUCUUUGAAAAUCUUUAAAAUAUUGCAUGAUGAGUUCCUGUAUGAUGAGAGUUUAAAUUCCUACCACAGCCAUAUAUACAUGCUUGCUAGACUUUGAGCCACACAUUUAAUAUUUACUGCUUAUGAGCAUUGAGUGUAGUCAAGCUGUGUAGACCCUUAGGAACUUGUCAUGUGGUUAAAUCAAGAUUCACUUGCACGUUCACUCAUAUAUGCUACUUCUACUCCGGAAGUACCAUCCACAUAUAUCCACCCAUUCCAUCUCCAGAAUCACCCAAAAAUAUUCUACUCCUAAUCCGGGAGAGAAUAACCAAAAAUAUUUCUGUUUUCCCCUUGUGAAAUAAAUGCUCAAGUUAUCUUGUUACUACCACUUGCUAUAUUAUCUCAAGAGAUGAGUGCUCUAAAAAAAUAUAUACGAGGAAAUAAAAAGGAGCAAGUGCUCGGAACCUCGAAAGAAAAGAAAAAGUGAGACGAGAGGUAAAAAUGGACAAGUGUCCGACAGUAGAAUUAGGGGUGCAAGAUACCCACCUGAAAAAAAAAGAAAAAAAAAGAAGAGCAUCUCAUUCUCCUCAUAAAGUUUCAAUAGCAAGGAAGGUAUGUAUCCCCUCAAAAGAGCAAAGUAGAAUUAGACUUCCACCACCAUUGUUUUCACCAUUGUUAUCACCAUCACCACCAUACACCAUUCAUUCGCCAUGCACAUCUUGAUUAAACUUAUUGGCUUGUUACUUUGGAUCCAUGGUUUUACUAUGCAAUAAAUGUCUUGUAAGUAUGUAUAUUUUAUCUCCCACCUAUGAGCUCCAGAUAUUAAAGCCUUAUUAGAGUAGGGUGAGAGAGAAGGCAAUGUCACUAUGCCUUAUACUACAAAUACUACAUAUCUUGAGAGAAGGCAUAUACCAUCAAUGCCUUGGUAAGGAUCCAAAAAUACCACAAAAGAGAGACCUGAGAGAAUCAUACAAGGAAUUUCUGAGUUUUAUUUGAAAAUCUGCAAAAACCCCAGAGCUAUAGCUGAUCAAGAAUAAGAGACAUGGCACUUGGCUAGACUGUUCUAUCUUUUAACCACUCAAGACAGAAGUGACAGUUACAAGUCCCAUGGUAAAGGUAAAGUAAGUAAGUUUUAAGUCUUGACAGUUUACUCUAACUCAGAGAUGAGAUCUUGUUUAAAAGCAUGUGUACCGUCAAAUUUUUUAAAAAAUAUUGCAGCAAUUUAUGAUCCAUAGCUGAGUCUAUCCUUGCUCAGGGACGAGCAAGAGGUAAGCUUGGGGGAGUUUGUUGACGGUCCUUAAGUAUCAAAUUUAAUUAUCAAAUAAAUAAAGAAAAGGAUCCAAAUGAAAUCAAGAUCUAGACUUAGGGUUUUAUCUGACAGAAUUCCACGAGUUUUGGUGUUUGUCUAUUUCUGCAGGGGGUUAUCAGGACAUAUGGAAGAAAGGCCCACAUGUCAGGAUUACGUAAAGAUAUUAACGUGCUGCGCAAUUAUCUUACAUCUAGAAGACUCCAGAAGCCACGAGACCGAAGCGGAGGCGAAACGGGGCCAGACCCUGGGCGGCCACCCAGUUGGUCAGGGCGCCCGCCCUGCCCCUGAGUCCAAUCAGGACUCUUCUUUGCGGGAGAUCUCCACCGACCUAAAGGAUGAAUCUAAACCAUACAAUCUAUGUCGGUUUGAUCCAACGGCCCAUAUUCACUUGAAGGGACUAUAAAACCAGACCCCCUGGCCCCUGGAGGAGAGAGCCUCUCAACCCUAAUUCAUUGUUCCAUCAAGGGAGAAGAAGCCUCUGAUCAAGAUUAGAGCCACCACAUCAAUUAGACAUCUAGAUUAGCAUAGCUACAUAGGAUUAGAACUAGAAGGAGUCAAUCUUCGAUUGGUUUCCGGAUCUGUCAAGAGGAUUCUUGGUAAUUCUCUAAUUGUUCAUCUUUGUUCUUUAAUAUUAUGAAUAUGACUUGUUCUACUUCAAUAUAUUGCUUAUGACUUUGCUCUACUUGUUUAUAUUCAAGAUUAUAUUGUUCUUAGUCUAUCAUAGUUAUAUACUUGGCUUAGUUAGAUUGGAUUUAUAUACAUGUUUAGGAUCGUAUAGCGUUUAUUCAUCGGAUCCCUAAAUGAUAGAUAUUGUGUAGGCGUGGUGCUUAUACCGUAUUUAUCUGCGAUUGUACCCAAUAUGCUAGAUCGUGGGGUAGUUCGUGAUAGUGACAGCUUCAUUGAUUCUUAUAUAGUCCCCCUCUCGUGUAUUGGGCUGGCAGAGCAACAUUAUUACAGGGGAGUGAUUGCUAUGUUUCUCAUAUUCCUUGCUAAUAUCACUAUGUAUGGGCGUAGUCUUGUCUCACAAUGAUUGCUAAGUAUGCUUGCACUAACUAUGAUAUGCUAGACUAUAUAGUUGAGAAUAACUUAGGAAAUAUUCUUGUAGUUCGUUCUAAUAACCAUGCUAAUGACUUGCUAGAAUAUUUAAUUGAGGUGCUAUCAUAUUUAUAUGUGGCUAAGUUAUGCUGAUCAGAUUAAUUAUCUUUGUCACUAUUCGUUACUUCAUAUAUCCUUUAUGUGACACUUACCCCUGUAUGAAAGAGUUAGAUAAAUGUUCUCAACUAUACAUGCAAUGAUAGAUACUCAAUCUUAUAUUCCAUUCUAUAAUCAAUAUUGAUGGUUACUAAUCCCUUCCUAAUGGUAAAAAUAUCAAUAACGAUACCUGGAAUACUUCCUGGUUAAAAUGCUACAUCGGUAUUAAUCUGUGCACUUGCAAAUCCCAUUCAUUAUUUAUUUAGAUGAGCAAUUGCAUAUUUCAAUACCGCAUCUCUCAUGUCAUGCUGGGGAUGACAACUUGGCUUAAGUGGUAUGAGGGAUAGGUUUAGCAUUUUUGGCACUAUUAUCAGAAUUAGAAAACUAAGUCUACUUUUGGUAAUGAUGUUAAGAAUACCCAACAAGCAUUUUUUGGCGCCAUUGCUGGGGAAGGUUGAUUACUAAUCAAGAAUGAAUAUAGGAUUUUGAGUUAUCAUUCGCAUCACUAAUGUGACUAAGCUUAUCAAUUCUCUCAUACAGUUUUACCCCGAUAUUUUUCUAUUUUAUCUUAUGCAGGGUAAUGAAUGAAUAGAAGACAUCUUCUAGGAAAUUUUGUUGACAAUCCCGAAGCAUUAUUCAGAAAAACAAGAGCCAAGCUCAAGAAGAGAUCAUCAACACUAUAGCAAGAAGCUGCAUCCAAUCAAGAAGAUCACCGGAACUUGUCUUCAGAGUUCGAAGCCAUGGCGAACAAAUCGAUCCGUGAGUUCUCAGCUCCCACUACGGACAACAUCCACACUGGACCUGUUACAGAGAUCGAUGGCAACUUUAAGCUCAAGCCUGGACUUAUCAACUUGGUGCAAUCCAACCAGUUCUGUGGGAAGGCAUAGUGCUCAUCUCCAACACUUCCUGGAGAUAUGCAACACAUUCACCAUAUCAGGAGUCCCUAGAGAUGCUAUACUACUUCGCCUCUUCCCAUUCUCACUGUUAGGAAGAGCGAAGCAGUGGUUCUACGCUACAAAGGAGAAGAAUACUACGUGGGCACUCUGCUCAACAAACUUCCUGGCUAAGUUCUUUCCCAUGGGCAAGACCAAUGCUCUCCGUGGGAAGAUUACAAGUUUUCAGCAACAACAUGAUGAAUCUGUUCGAGAAGCAUGGGAGCGCUUCCAAGAUUAUAUCCUAGAAUGUCCCCAUCAUGGAAUGGAGAGUUGGCUACUGAUGCAGAUGUUUUAUCAUAGGCUCGGCAACAGUGCUCGAGAAACCAUGGAUGCUGCAGCUGGAGGAGCAUUCCUAUCACUUACCAUAUCACAAGCCACAACUCUUGUGGAGAAGAUGGCGUCCAACCAAAGCUGGAAUGAAGAAAGGACCCAGACACGCAAGAGAGGUGGAGAUAUGCAUCAGCUCAAGGAGGUAGACAUGCUGUCUGCAAAGUUAGACCUGCUCAUGAAGAAGCUCGAUGAUAGAGCUGGAGAUAAGAAAGAAGUUAUGCACAUCUACGACACUCACAUGACUUGUGAGGAGUGUGGAGAUACUCGACACUCAGGCAAUUACUGCCCUGAGAUGCUUGAGGAUGUGAACUACAUCAACAACAAUAACAACAACUACUACAACCGUCCUCAACAAAAUCACGGUUGGAAUCAACAGAGGCCUAACUACUCAGGUAAUUAUCAAGGUAAUAAUUCUUACAACAAUAACAAUAAUUUUCCACCUCUAAGAGAGUUAGUGUCUAAUCAAGGAAAGCUAAUGGAUAACCUAUCUAAGAAAUUGGCAUCUAAUGAUAAAAUGCUAGAAAAUAUAAAUAAUAGAAUGGAUAAUUUCUCUACUGCCAUCAAGAAUCAAAUUAGCUUUAAUAAAAUGAUUGAAUCUCAGUUAAAUCAAAUAGCUGCUGCUGUUCCUACUACUAACCCCGGUAUACCAUCACAACCGGAAGGAUUAGAAUCUGCAAAUCUUGUAGACAUGUUUGAUGCAGGUAAUUGGAGUAACCCCGUCACUGAAGUUACUACUGACCUUCUGCCGGUCAAGAGAGGCGAUCGAGGAUGCCCCGUCAUCCCGAUCUCAUCGGCAUGGUGGACUUCCCAGAAGCACUCUGCGACUUCGGCUCUAGUGUCAACAUUAUACCUAGGGUACUCUAUGAAAAAUUCUUUACAUAUCCUUUAUUAGAAACAACCAUGUGUUUGCAGUUUGCAGAUCAGACGAUAAGUUUUCCAAAAGGAAUAUUGAAGAACCUUUGUGUCCAAGUUGGUACCUUAUACGCCCCAGCAGACUUCAUGGUAAUAGAGACCGGUAAUGAUGAGAGGGCACCUAUCAUCUUAGGAAGGCUAUUCUUAAACACCUCGGGAGCUGUCAUCUACGCUAGUGCUGCCAAGAUCAGUUUCUACAUCAAAGAGAAGAAGGAGACGUUUCCUUCAAGAACAAGACUACACAAAUCCCAGAUCAAUCCAGACGUGAAUCAAGGAAGAGGACCAACAGGAGGAACAGGAACAAGCAAGUGUGGACCGAGUCAGCUAAGAUGGUCACUGCAGUUCAUGGAGGCCAAGAUCAUCAACUUAAGUCACCAUUUUUGACCAAGAAGGAUGACCCAGGAAUGCCAAGCAUCUAUUGCUCCAUAAAUGGAUACAACUUCUACAAGACGACUUGUGACACCGGAUCAGGCGUCAACAUAAUGGUCGCAGUCACCUAUCGGCUCUUGUUCGGAACCAUGCCCUUAAAACCAACAUACAUUCAUCUCCAGAUGACAGAUCAGACAUUCUGAGAAGUUAAAGGAAUAGUAACUGACGUCCCUGUCAAAAUAGACGAUCAUUUUGUCUACACAGACUUUUAGGUUAUUGACAUGGGAGAAGACGAAUACGAUCCACCCAUCAUCCUUGGAAGACCGUUCCUCAGCACCGUUAAAGCAAUCAUCUACAUUGGAACCGGAGAAGUCCAUAUGCACUUCCCCUCAUAGAAGGUACGCCGCUAUUUUACUGACCCUAAUUAUAUCGUUGUAGACUCUAAGCAGGUCAGAAAACAACGCAACCGCAACCAGAGGAGACAAAUCAUCAAGGACAGAUGGGCAGACUAUGAAGGAGAAGUGGUAAGAUCAGAAGACAUACAGUUUAAACAGAAUUAUCCUGAGGAGACCGUAGCACCGAGUUAGGAAUGGAAAGAGAAGAUAACUAUACAUGAAGAGGAGGCGCUGCCGGAUGUACCGACUACGCCACCCAACGAAUCCCAGGACAACUGAGAAAACGGAGAGUCCCGUUCGGAGGACUUAAAAACACCGAACGCCUUGCCAAGAGGUAAACUUCGUAGUUAUCCUUUCCCUUUCAAUUAUUUAAAAUAGUUUGCUUAGUUAAUUAUGUUCAUACUAUCCUAAAAAGAAAAUAAAAAUGUUAAAAAACAGUAAGCCCCAUGUGAGUAUACGAGUGGCAUAAUACCCAUAAGUACGUUCACUGUGGUGGCAUAAAAAUAAAAUAAAUAUUUCUUUUCUGCUUUAUAAAAUGAAAAUAUAAAAACAGGGAGUAAUAUUUAUUGAGGAGACUCAACAUGAUAAAGGCUAGAUAUUUAUGCUAACACCUAAUCAGUUCCACAAAGCUUUGUUGUCUGUUUGAGCUCCAUAGGAUUUAAGAAUCGAGAAGACUAGCAGAUGGAGAACAUUCUAAUCGCUGUCAGAAUGCUGCUGACUUUCAAAUACACCUCUGCCACCUGCUAGCUACAUCAGGAGAAGUUACGUCAAAAUUCAGCUUGGGGGAGAGCACCCCCAUUUAUCCCGCUAAGUAUUUCUAUCUUUAUACUUAUAUUAUAUUAAAAUAUAAAUAUACAUAACUAUGGAAAACCAAAUAAAGAUUUUAUGCUUAUAUAUAUAUGUCUUUUGCUUAGUAUGCUUAAUAAAUAAAUAAAGUGGCUAUGCUAAACUGAAUCUUAAUAAUAAAACUCUAGCAUGGAUAUGAUGAAUAGUUGCUCUGCCUAAUUUUUAAAAUUUGAAAUUCUCUCUCAAGUUUAGACAUAGCUGUUAUAAUUUAAAACUUGCUCUAAACCUAAAAUUGUGGGAAGAAAACUUGAUCUGAAGUCUAAGUUGUUAACAGAUGUGAUAUGGAAAGGUUGAGCUGCUGUUUAUCUGUUCCUAGAGAUGCUAGAAUUCUGGAGAAUUUUAUCUUUGAAAAUCGUUAAAAUGUUGCAUGAUGAGUUCCUGUAUGAUGAGAGUUUAAAUCCCUACCACAGCCAUAUAUACAUGCUUGCUAGACUUUGAGCCACACAUUUACUUUUUACUGCUUAUGAGCAUUGAGUGUGGUCAAGCUGUGUAGACCCUUAGGAGCUUGUCAUGUGGUUAAAUCAAGAUUCACUUGCACGUUCACUCACAUAUUCUGCUUCUACUCCGGAAGUACCAUCCACAUAUAUCCACUCAUUUCCAUCUCCAGAACCACCCAAAAACAUUCUACUCCUAAUCCGGGAGAGAAUGGCCAAAAAUAUUUCUAUUUUUCCCUUGUGAAAUAAAUGCUCAAGUUAUCUUGUUACUACCACUUGCUAUAUUAUUUCAUGAGAUGAAUGCUCUAAAAAACGAGGAAAUAAAAAGGGGCAAGUGCCCGGAACCUCGAAAGAAAAGAAAAAGCGAGACGAGAGGUAAAAAUGGACAAGUGUCCGACAGUAGAAUUAGGGGUACAAGAUACCCACCUGAGAGGAAAGAAAACAGAAAAUAUAGAGCAUCUCAUUCUCCUCACAAAGUUUCAAAAAGCAAGGAAGGUAUGUAUCCCCUCAAAAGAGCAAAAGUAGAAUUAGACUUUCACCAUUGUUAUCACCAUCAUCACCAUACACCAUUCAUUCGCCACACAUGCACAUCUUAAUUUGACUUAUUGAUUUGUUUCUUUGGAUCCAUGGUUUGACUAUACAAUAAAUGUCUUAUAAGUAUGUAUAUUUUAUCUCCCACCUAUGAGCUCCAGAUAUUAAAGCCUUAUUAGAGUAGGGUGAG